AACCAGCACCUCAAGUGGUCAGGAUGCUUAUUGGGCCUAAAGCAUCCGUAGCCUGUUUUGUCAGUUUUCGGUUAAAUCCAUACGCUCAACGUAUGGGCUGCCGGAAAUACUGCAAAACUAGGGAGUGGGAGAGGUAGACGGUACUCGGGAGGAAGGGGUAAAAUCCUUUGAUCUCUCGAUGACCACCUGUGGCGAAGGCGGUCUACCAGAACACGUCCGACGGUGAGGGAUGAAAGCUGGGGGAGCAAACCGGAUUAGAAACCCCGGUAGUCC
rnacentral:rRNA from 1 species